UUUGCUAUUUUUAAACAGUGGUCAGAUGAGUUCUUUGGACACGUUGUAAUUUUAUUUCUGCUUGGGAUUUUCGUGUGGAAGGAUGCCACACUCGUUAGAGCAUUUUCAUAUUUGAUAGCUAAAUUUAACCUACAAUGGUUCUACUGUAUUAGUGCAUCAAUUCCGAGGUAAGUGUUUUAUUCUUACAUAUAUUUAUACUUUUCUGUGUCUCACUUUUGUUGAUCAAAUUUCCGAAACUUUCAGACUUCUGCAGACAAUUUUCCAUUAUGUAAAUUGUUCAAUUUAUAAUGUUUUGUAAACGAUUUAAAGAUAUGAAAACCAUGUUUUAUAUUCAGAUAUUUGCGGUUUUACUAGUGAACAAGAACAAGAUUGUUAAUUACGGGUACAAAUUGAAUGUACGUUAUAUUUAUGUGUACAAGGUUCCGAAUUUCCUUAUGUACGUGAAACUAUCAUGCAAAUUAUGAUAUUUAUUAUAGUAUGACACAUUUUUCUACAUAUAAAAUGUACGUGUGUAUUUAUCUACGUCAAUUAACAGAAUAUAUAUGUUCAGUUUAUGAACGUGAGAUUAUAGAGUUCAUGUUUAUGUUGCAUGAACGUGCAAGUAAAAUGCAUAUCUAAAUUGAUAAUCGUACUAAAGAGUUUGUACAAUUAUAUUAUUACUAGGUUCCAGCCUGCACCAGAGUAAUACAAUGCUGCGGUGUUAAGGAAUGAUCAUAUGGAUUGAACGCAUUCAUACAUAAUUCAUCAAACAACAUAUAUCUACAUAUUAUAGUGGAACUGUCGUGCACGAUACCAUAACCGUCAUAACGAUACCAUAACCGUCAUAACGAUACAAAGGGAAGUAAUCUGGAUAUACAAACUACUGAAGCUGUUGAACUAUUUAUUUGAACUUUAAUGUUUAGAAUAAUUUGAUGUAUAUUUUCUUCUUAAUUGUUUUUUUUUUUGUUUAUUAAAUAAUUUAUUUAUUCUAAUCGUUGAUUCUUUAGUCAAUAUUGUAAAAUAACACCGAAAGAUUUAUCCAUCCGUCCGUCC
rnacentral:lncRNA from 1 species